rnacentral:rRNA from 1 species
UACAGAGGGUGCGAGCGUUGUCCGGAAUCACUGGGCGCAAAGGGCGCGUAGGUGGCGACCCAAGUCCAUGGUGAAAGCUCGAUGCUCAACAUCGAGUCGGCCACGGAUACUGGGUUGCUGGAGCACUGUAGAGGCAGAUGGAAUUCCGGGUGUAGCGGUGGAAUGCGUAGAGAUCCGGAAGAACACCGGUGGCGAAGGCGGCCUGCUGGGCAGUAGCUGACGCUGAGGCGCGACAGCGUGGGGAGCAAACAGG